rnacentral:rRNA from 1 species
UUUUAUGGAGAGUUUGAUCCUGGCUCAGAGUGAACGCUGGCGGCGUGCCUAAUACAUGCAAGUCGAACGAUGAAGCUUCUAGCUUGCUAGAGUGCUGAUUAGUGGCGCACGGGUGAGUAACGCAUAGGUCAUGUGCCUCUUAGUUUGGGAUAGCCAUUGGAAACGAUGAUUAAUACCAGAUACUCCCUACGGGGGAAAGAUUUAUCGCUAAGAGAUCAGCCUAUGUCCUAUCAGCUUGUUGGUAAGGUAAUGGCUUACCAAGGCUAUGACGGGUAUCCGGCCUGAGAGGGUGAACGGACACACUGGAACUGAGACACGGUCCAGACUCCUACGGGAGGCAGCAGUAGGGAAUAUUGCUCAAUGGGGGAAACCCUGAAGCAGCAACGCCGCGUGGAGGAUGAAGGUUUUAGGAUUGUAAACUCCUUUUGUUAGAGAAGAUAAUGACGGUAUCUAACGAAUAAGCACCGGCUAACUCCGUGCCAGCAGCCGCGGUAAUACGGAGGGUGCAAGCGUUACUCGGAAUCACUGGGCGUAAAGAGCGCGUAGGCGGGAUAGUCAGUCAGGUGUGAAAUCCUAUGGCUUAACCAUAGAACUGCAUUUGAAACUACUAUUCUAGAGUGUGGGAGAGGUAGGUGGAAUUCUUGGUGUAGGGGUAAAAUCCGUAGAGAUCAAGAGGAAUACUCAUUGCGAAGGCGACCUGCUGGAACAUUACUGACGCUGAUUGCGCGAAAGCGUGGGGAGCAAACAGGAUUAGAUACCCUGGUAGUCCACGCCCUAAACGAUGGAUGCUAGUUGUUGGAGGGCUUAGUCUCUCCAGUAAUGCAGCUAACGCAUUAAGCAUCCCGCCUGGGGAGUACGGUCGCAAGAUUAAAACUCAAAGGAAUAGACGGGGACCCGCACAAGCGGUGGAGCAUGUGGUUUAAUUCGAAGAUACACGAAGAACCUUACCUAGGCUUGACAUUGAGAGAAUCCGCUAGAAAUAGUGGAGUGUCUGGCUUGCUAGACCUUGAAAACAGGUGCUGCACGGCUGUCGUCAGCUCGUGUCGUGAGAUGUUGGGUUAAGUCCCGCAACGAGCGCAACCCCCUUUCUUAGUUGCUAACAGGUCAUGCUGAGAACUCUAAGGAUACUGCCUCCGUAAGGAGGAGGAAGGUGGGGACGACGUCAAGUCAUCAUGGCCCUUACGCCUAGGGCUACACACGUGCUACAAUGGGGUGCACAAAGAGAAGCAAUACUGCGAAGUGGAGCCAAUCUUCAAAACACCUCUCAGUUCGGAUUGUAGGCUGCAACUCGCCUGCAUGAAGCUGGAAUCGCUAGUAAUCGCAAAUCAGCCAUGUUGCGGUGAAUACGUUCCCGGGUCUUGUACUCACCGCCCGUCACACCAUGGGAGUUGUGUUUGCCUUAAGUCAGGAUGCUAAAUUAGCUACUGCCCACGGCACACACAGCGACUGGGGUGAAGUCGUAACAAGGUAACCGUAGGUGAACCUGCGGUUGGAUCACCUCCUUUCUAGA